UUUCAAUCCCACGCUUACAAGGCUAUAUAAGUAACAGUCAAAACCAGACGGCUUAUUUUUCUUCAGCUCAAUCUUAGAUUCAAUAUGCAGGCGAGCGAUAUAUCAACUCACAGCUCGAACAUAUGCAAGCUAAAUAUGUCGGUACAGGGCACUCCGACUUGACUCGAUUUGAAUGGGUUUUUUUUUCUGUUUUUGUUCUAAACUAGAACUUAGAUUCCGUGUU